rnacentral:tRNA from 1 species
CCAGCAGGGGUCGAACCUGCGACCUUGGGCUUAUUAGACCCACGCUCUAACCGACUGAGCUAUGGCGGC